UACAGAGGUCUCAAGCGUUGUUCGGAUUCAUUGGGCGUAAAGGGUGCGUAGGCGGCGCGGUAAGUCGGGUGUGAAAUCUCGGGGCUUAACUCCGAAACUGCAUUCGAUACUGCCGUGCUUGAGGACUGGAGAGGAGACUGGAAUUUACGGUGUAGCGGUGAAAUGCGUAGAUAUCGUAAGGAAGACCAGUGGCGAAGGCGGCAUCCUGGACCGAGAUUGACGCUGAGGCGCGAAAGCCAGGGGAGCAAACGGG
rnacentral:rRNA from 1 species